AAGUCUUGGGAGAGGGGCCUUCACCGGCUCCGAUUCCUUGGCUGCUAUGGAUAAUCGCGGUAAUUCUGAGACUAAUACAAGAACGUAACACCUAGAUGACCGGGCAACUGGGAAUUUAGGGGUCGCGCGAGGCUGAAUACUGCUACAAAUAGGGAUGAGAACGCGUGCGAUCGUACCGCCAGCAAAUGAUCUUGGGUUCAGUCUUAGUACCGCAAGGGAAAAGCGUGCUCUCGUUCAGGCGGUGCCAGUAGUGCGCUUCUGACCUAUCAACUUUACUGCGACUCCAUGGACUGCAAUGGUUACAACGGGUACAGAGGAUAAGGGUUCGAUCCUGGAGAGUGGGCCUGAGAGAUU
rnacentral:rRNA from 1 species